rnacentral:lncRNA from 1 species
CUACUAUAGUCUCUUGGCUUGAUGAUGCAUCUUCAAUUAAUUUUUGAUUGUUAUCUUGUAAUGUCAUCUCAUCAAUCUUUUCUUCAAGAAUUUCCGUAUCAUCAUCAAAAUUAACUCUCUUACUAGAGGAGAUAUCACUCGAGUCAUCAAAAGCAACAUGUAUAGAUUCUUCUAUGACUAGGGUUCUUUUAUUAAAGACUCUAUAGGCUUUACUAGUUGUAGAGUACCCUAAGAAUAUGCCCUCAUCAGAUUUAGAGUCAAAUUUUUCUAGAUUAUCUUUCCCAUUAUUAUGAACAAAACACCUACAUCCAAAGAUAUGAAAAUAGUUUACCUUUG